rnacentral:lncRNA from 1 species
AUAUUCGAGACAUCUUUGAAUGAACCAAGUUUUGCACUUCCAUCGACGAUUUUGAUCACAUUCUCGUCCUGCAGCGCAGACCUGAUGCGUAUCGAGUUCAUCUCCAUGUCAUCCAGGUAUCGGACCGUGACCCAAUUGUCAUGCGUGAAUAGAAGAUGGAAAUGUCCACAAAAUUGUGUCUUGAAGUAUUCCAUCGCCUCUUCAUACUGUGAUCGAUUCAGAACGCGCCCGUUCAAAGAUCAGAAUGUGGCCACCACUUCCCGUUAACGUCGUUUCUUUGUAGGGAGACUGGCUGCAAGCAUCACGACCUCGUGCAGUCACCCUCGGGCUCUCUGUCGCAGAGCGUCAAGUUAUAGAACACACCAAGACUCAGGAGCUCGCAUCUGUCAACCAGGACACACCGGGUAUGCUUCUGUGCAACCCUUCCACCAGUUUGCACCUUUGCUGUACCAGUGCACCCUCUUUGGUCACUUUAUGUGCGCAUUGGGAGAGGCAUAUGUGCAAGUGCUGCAUAUGACAUACCAUGGCCGCAGCAAGAAUUCAGUCGUGCAUGUGGUGCCCCCUCAGGUCGACCCGCUGCGCAGCCCAAGGCCUAGCAGCCCAGGGUCUAGCAGCCCAGAUCCCCAGACGAGCCAGAGCUCUCCUAUUGGUCGGUAGGUCAUUUUCACCUAAUGAGCUCUUUCAACUCCAACACCAAUGGCUUCUAUUGAGCCCCGAUGUCUUCAUUGGCUCUGGAAAUUGUGUGGCCCUGAUGUGUGUGGUGGAUCACUCCAGCACAACCGGGACGAGUUCGUCGGCGCGGUUGCCACGCUCUCGUUCUUCCUUGCAGCUCUGUUCUUUUCUCUCACAAGAUGAACAAAGAUUCUUCUUAUCCUGGGCACUCUUGAAUAAAGAUUCUUGAUGCAUGUGGUGCAAAAGUGCCUGAUGAUUAUUUGAACACGCGACUUCAUUCUGUUUGGCAGGUGAGAUGAUUGACAAAAUUGGAAGAUGGCCGUCGCGAUUGAAAAGGACAGGCUCGCCGCCCAGACAUAUGUUUUGAUAGCCGGGAUUGUGUUC